rnacentral:tRNA from 1 species
GCCAGAGUAGCCUAGUGGCCAGGCGACUGGUUUGUACCCAGUUGACGGGGGUUCGAUUCCCUCCUCUGGCU